GAAUUCGCGGAAUAAAACG
rnacentral:miRNA from 1 species